CAGCAGCCGCGGUAAUACGUAGGUGGCGAGCGUUGUCCGGAAUUAUUGGGCGUAAAGGGAGCGCAGGCGGACAUAUAAGUCCAUCUUAAAAGUGCGGGGCUCAACCCCGUGAGGGGAUGGAAACUGUAUGCCUUGAGUGCAGGAGAGGAAAGCGGAAUUCCCAGUGUAGCGGUGAAAUGCGUAGAUAUUGGGAGGAACACCAGUGGCGAAGGCGGCUUUCUGGACUGUAACUGACGCUGAGGCUCGAAAGCCAGGGGAGCGAACGGGAUUAGAUACCCGCGUAGUCCCUGUCUCUUAUACC
rnacentral:rRNA from 1 species